rnacentral:misc_RNA from 1 species
UUUUUACAGUGGUAGGCAGUCCUUCAAAAUACCGUUCAGCAGAAUCAAUUCCAAAAAUUUUGGUCAUCAAGUCAAUGCGGAUAGCAUAAUCUGAGUCCAAUGCUUCAUCCUGAUUGUGGUAAACCAGCCAUUCUGAGAUCUCAAGGGCGUGCUUGAAUCUGCGCGACUUUCGAAGCUCUUUGGAGAUGUGACGGAGGUCGGAGAUAGAUAUUACUCGGCCUUCACCGACCCAUCUCUGAAGCACGUUGGUGGCGCUUCUUUUGGGUAGUCUUAGGCUGAAUAUUCUGCUCUUCAAAUCAUCUGGGAUUUCGCCCCUUUCUUCCUCAGAAGAAUUUGGGGAGUCUUCAUAGACAACUUCAGUUGUAGUAAAGGAUCUAAAUAGACUCUUUUCUCUGCCACGGGCAUUUCUCGUGAGUUUGAGGAAGAUACUGCGAGCAGCCAUGGAAACUAGAGAUGAAUUGGGAAGAGAAACCCGA